CGAACAAAAGAAAGAAAAAUAUGGCUAAAAGUUUUCUGAGCAGAGAGAUGACAAAAUAUUACACGGCAAACCAAGUGAGAAAUGAAGUACUUUCUUUUACUAAACUUCGAUCGCAUGUUUGCAAGUGCCUAUUAAGGAAGAGCCUUUUUAAGUCUUCCCAUUUCCUGAAUUUAAAAUAUAUCAUAAAGGGAAAUAAAGAUGGAUUUACCAUGUACACAAUAAAUCGUUGUCGUUUAGCUUGGGGGAUUCUCUCUUGAAGCAACUGUAGAUGAAAAAGAGACCCACCUGGGAAACAUACAUUGUUGUAAAAUCCAACUAAAUUGAAGAAAACAAGAAUAUCUGAAAAAAUAAUAAGAUAUUUAUGAUGAAUUUGGAGAUUUAGAAGCAAUAUUUUACGAGCAUUGAUGGUCCUUUUUCAACCCGGUAGAGAGCCAUAGGAAGUUGC
rnacentral:lncRNA from 1 species